rnacentral:rRNA from 1 species
UACGUAGGGACCAAGCGUUGUUCGGAUUUACUGGGCGUAAAGGGCGCGUAGGCGGCGUGGUAAGUCACUUGUGAAAUCUCUGAGCUUAACUCAGAACGGUCAAGUGAUACUGCUGUGCUAGAGUGCAGAAGGGGCAAUCGGAAUUCUUGGUGUAGCGGUGAAAUGCGUAGAUAUCAAGAGGAACACCUGAGGUGAAGACGGGUUGCUGGGCUGACACUGACGCUGAAGCGCGAAAGCCAGGGGAGCGAACGGG